GAUCAUGGCUCAGGAUGAACGCUGGCGGCGUGCCUAACACAUGCAAGUCGAACGAAGCAUACGGACCGGAGAUUCGUCGAAGGGCCGUAUGACUUAGUGGCGGACGGGUGAGUAAUGUAUGAGCAACCUGCCUUUCAGAGGGGGACAACAGUUGGAAACGACUGCUAAUACCGCGUAACGUAUCGUGAGGGCAUCCUCGUGAUACCAAAGGAGCAAUCCGCUGAAAGAUGGGCUCAUAUCUGAUUAGCUUGUUGGCGGGGUAACGGCCCACCAAGGCGACGAUCAGUAGCCGGACUGAGAGGUUGAACGGCCACAUUGGGACUGAGAUACGGCCCAGACUCCUACGGGAGGCAGCAGUGGGGAAUAUUGGGCAAUGGGCGAAAGCCUGACCCAAGCAACGCCGCGUGAAGGAAGAAGGUCUUCGGAUUGUAAACUUCUUUUAUGAGGGACGAAGGACGUGACGGUACCUCAUGAAUAAGCCACAGCUAACUACGUGCCAGCCGCUGC
rnacentral:rRNA from 1 species